UAUAAUUUAUCUAGAUCUAUACUCUUAAUAGACUAAACUCUGUUGAUCAACCAGUUGCUAGAAUAAUGAGCUACAGAAUUGCUAGAUCUACUUUGGCAUUGACAAUAAUCAUAAUCACAUUUGCUUCAUCUUAUGAUGCCCAAAUUACAGAUGAGACUUCAUCAAGUGCUGGCAAGAAAUUCGUGGUCGGUUUCCCAAGAAAUUUUGGUCAAACAGCAGACGAGUUGUUUUUGUUUAUCACAAACCCAGGGUCAAGUGCUGUUAAUUUCACAGUCACUCCAAUUAAUAUCAGUGGGAAAGUUUCUAACUCUUCAACUAGGGUAAUUAUUCCACCCAGUUUUGAGGUUUAUUCUGUUAAUGAAAGGAACAAGGGGAAUAAGAAUAAGGGUAUGUGUGGCGUGUGUAGGUGUGUGUAGGGUGUGUGGUGUGUGCAUAGUGUGAUUGCGCUAUUGUUCCUCACAAUAGACGCUUGUGUGAUCAUUUGGUUGAACAAGUGCCUCUGACUGUGACAUGGGGCUCAAAAUUCCACGUAGCAUCUCUCGAGGGUAUAGAUCUUCUGGUGAACGUAUUCGUAUUCUUAGUGCCCGAGCAGCAAGUGUAGCUGUGAACUGCAACACUGUUGUAUCAGUCAAUGAAUUCCAGUUACAGAGUGGAGGGAGCUUUAGAGAAUUUGAAAUACCUAUUAACAGUUUUUGUAGCAUUGAAUCCACUUCUCCAGUACUGGUCGCACAGUAUGCAUAUGGUAGAGUGAGUGAUAGCGUGAGAGGCCCAUUCAUGGUGAUAAUCCCUCCAAUUGAGCAGUUUACAAAUAAUUAUUUUGUCGAAGCAUUUCCUCUUUUCGCAUCUAACUAUGUCACGGUGUAUGUUUCUUCUGAGUUUUUCAAUUUUCACAAAUAGUAUUAGACAAUUCCAUUGUUAGUGGCUGGAGAGAUGUUGUCUGUUCAAGUGGAGAAAUUUGUGGCCACAUAAGUAGAACGAGUGUGUCUACUGGAGCUCAUUCUAUCCUCCAUCAAAACAGCUCAGCUGUUCUAGGUGUGUCAGUGUAUGGAUUCCGCUUUACCGGUUCUUAUGGUUACCCCGGAGGCAUGAGAUUAUCUCCCAUACAAUGCAACUGUGGUCAAAAUUCUAUUUGUUUGAAUAACAGGGAACAGUUCAACUGUAGCUGCUUGAUUGGAUUUGUGGCUUCAUUGUCUGCAACAAAUGAGAUCGUCUGUAUACCGGUGUAGAAAUAACUGGUGCAUGGAAUGUUGCUGCUCUAUCUGGAGGUGUUGUUGCUAUAGUGGUGAUACUGAUCGUCCUGGUCCUCUUAGUAUUUACUAUCAUACAAAAAAGAAAAAGUAAGGGUAAAUUUAAAAUUUACUUGCUGACUGCAUGUAUAUUUAAUUUAUAUCUUCCAUUUGUGAUUUGGCUCAGCAAAUAGACAACUGUCAGGCAAUAAAAUUCCAAUAGCCCCAGCUGGUCCAGUAUACGAGGAAGUUGAUCUAGCAAUAACAAAUAGACAACUGUCAGGCAAUGAAGUUCCAAUAGUCCCAGCUGGUCCAGUAUACGAGGAAGUUGGUCUAGCAAUGACACCAAGAGCACAAGAUAUUCAAGUGGAGUCUAAUGAAGCUUAUGGACAAGCUUAUGGACAAGUAAGGAAUUUGUGUAAUGAUUAUCUUAUACCCCAGAUGGUGAAGUAAAACAAUACGUUGCAGUCAAAUUUGGCACAUGAAGAAAACAUAUACACGAGUACCUAGGUUGAGGUUACUCAAGGAAUAUUAACAUAUACUACGUUUUACUUUCAGCAUGCAGCUAGACAGAUAAACAUGCAAUUCCAACUUUAAGUUAUUAUGCUACCCUCAUAUGUAGCUAUAUAAUAUUAGUCAAUUGAUAAUUUUACACAGAUAUAAUUAUGCUAGUAGAUCUUACUAUACGAUCUUUACUUUGACACAAAUUAACACUGCACU